rnacentral:lncRNA from 1 species
ACGUCAGCAGUGUUUGGUUAGGGGAUAGGGAUAGGGAUAGGCCCUUAUCCCCCCUUUAUACCUAAAUGUUAAUUUUUUAUCCGAAAACAGUAGUUCUCGGUUACCUAUAAUAACCGGUUAUAACUAUCUCCACCAACACUUCUAUUUUUUAUAUAAAACUGCCUAAUAUUUUUCUUAUUCUAUAUUUUAUAUCUAUCCAAACGCUAUUUUUUUUUUAUCCCCGGGAACAACCUAAUUUUCAUCCAAACGCUAUUUUUCUUAUUCCCAUACUUAUACCUAUCUUUAUAAUAGUUAGUUCUUACUUAUACCCGAACCAAACGGUACCGUGAAGUACUAGCAGUGGGCACAUGCAUGCAGUGCAAAUUAACUUUUAGCCACCAUUUGGUUGGGGGUUAAGGGGUGGAAUAACCCCUUAACCCCCAAUUUAUACCCAAACACCACUCUUUUGGGGUGGGGUUAGUAAACCCCACCCCAAACCGGGUUAGUGGGGUUUACUAACCCCACUCCCCCUCCCAACUUUAACCCCGCACGCAUCCCGAGUCCUCAUCUUUUUCUUCUUUAUCAAUCAUUAACCCCACUCCCCCUCCCAACUUUAACCCCGCACGCAUCCCGAGCUCUCACCUUUUUCUUCUUUAUCAAUCAUUAUCUUCUUAUCCCACCUACUCAAACCAAACACUUUUUUUCACUAUUCUAGACUAACUCCAACCUCCAACCAAACACAAAAAAAUUUUAACACCAUUUUAACCCUGAACUUAACCCUAUCCCUGGAAUAGCUACUUUUUCUUAACCCCGAACCAAACGGUGGCUUAGGAAAAACUUCAAAAACCCCCCCUGUGGUUUCGUGCUUUUUCACUUUAGUACCCUGUGGUUUAAAGUGUAUCAAUUUACCCCCCUAUGGUUUCGUUUUUAUCUUUUCGAUAGUUUUUUCGUUAAUAUUUUAUUAAAUUAUAUGCAAAAAACUUCAGAUACUCAUCUAAAUUUAUCGAAUAUUCACUAUAGUACCUUUUAAUUUUAACUUUGUCAUUAAUUUAAGAAAAAAAUAAUAAUAAAAUUGAUAAUAAAAAGAGAAAAACGAGACCACAGGGGGGCAAAAUGAUACAUUUUAAACCACGGGGUACUAAAAUGAGAAACUGCAAAACCACAGGAGGAUUUUUUG